rnacentral:lncRNA from 1 species
CAAUAAUACCGGGGGGAAAGUCCUCACAAUCAUUAUUUAAGGUAAAAUGACGGGUCAUGGUUUGCAGAAUGCAUAUAGGUUUCAUUGCUCAUAAUCAAAGACCAUGAUUUCUUACUCUUAACCAUCAAAUUUAUGAAGAGCCCUUCAAGUCUGGCAUACUGUUCUCACCAUGGCCAACCAGAUGCCUGUGGGAAGCCCACAAGCAGGUCAUGAUGUCAUCCACAAACAUAACCACCAUACUGCUCAUGCCCAAUGCUAUUCUUCUAGAAAUAGAGGUGCUGGAACUCACCAUGAUGAACACCUCCCUUGUUCUCUUAUAAUGGCCAUGGCGCUCAUCCGAGAGGUGCCAGGACUGAGUUCCAGUGAGUUCAGGCCGGGGAAAAUCCCUGCUCAUCCUUAAUCCCAGGUCAUUUACAAACAUGCUACAAAGCACAGCCCUCUGUACUCAUCAGGGGUGUGUGUGUGACACCCCACUUCUUAUAUCCCUCCAUUAUGAGAUCUGUCGAUUAAUUUCUAAUUUCAGCUUCAUUUUCUUUAACCCGUUGCUGAUCUAUAGGUGGACCUAUCCUCUUAUCCCAUGAUUGCCAAGAGUUAGCCUAUGCUAGCUGUCAAAGAAUGUUUCACUUAAUAAGCGUCAGAAUGUAAUGAUAUAAGGUACUGGAUACAUACUUAUGGAGAAUUACCGUUAGUUCCAUUUUUCAAGUAGCUUCAGUAUUGGCCUUUUUCUGUGCUACCACACUGAAGUACCUCAACCUUGGAAAAGCACUUCCAGGAGUCAUAAUUACACUACUCAGUCAGGUCAUGGUCUCUGUCAUGAAGCUGCCAACCGAACACAGCCUGUAAUCUUUCUGCCCGUGCGUGUGUGCUUGUCCAUGUGGUGACUUUUUAAAAACCAUUUUACAGCAUAGUUCAAGCAUGGUUUCAUGUUCUCUUGAGAUAAGGAAGAUGCUCCAGAAUCCAGAUGCUAAAAGAUUGUCAUUGGCUAUCUUCCCAAUGACAUGGUCUCUGAGGCAGCUCACUCAAAAUCUUGGCAAUCUGUAUUCUACCUCUGAAAACCCAGCAGAAAGUACAGCUUUGCAGUAAUAUUUGGUAAGUUUGCAUGCAUCAAAACACCACAGUAAUGUGAUUGAAUCUCAUAGGCUUAAUUAUGUGCUUAAAAAACAAAAUAUGAACAUGCUUAUGUAACUUGCUGGAGAGGUCGCUUAAACUGGAAUGCCUGCAUUAUUGGCUGUUGCAAUUUAAAUACAUGCAUAUGGAGGGAAAAAGAGGAGGAGGAACAAGCCAAACCUGGCUUCUGAAUUUGUUUAACGGCUUGAAGGUUAUGUCAAGGAACAAUCAUCACCUGCUCGGUGGUCUAGAUGAUUGGAUUUCUUAUUAUCGGGGAUGCACUGAAGUGUGAAAUAGAAAACCCAUUGCUCUAGGUAAGAAAGAGAAGGUCUCAGCCUAGGGGAAAGAGUGACAAGCUCUUUAAUUAUAUUAGUAAUGGCUGCCAAGAAAGAGCUAGCCAAGGCACUACCACCAGGUAGGCCAGAAGAAAAGUGCGAAUUGGUAUUGAAAAGCUGUAGUGAGCCACAGGUGUUUUCAUCAUCAACAUUGAUCUGCCAUUGGUUCUGGAAGACUACCAUACAUCAUGGGAGUUAAGCUGAAUUUCUGCACCAGAUAUUUCCUGACUUUCAAAAUGUCAUGUGCACUUCUUCAACAUCAAGCUUAUUGUUUUCACAAAACACAAACAGCAAACUUGUGUAAUUGUUAUUAAUUAUUAUGCAUCUGAUUUAUAUACUGCUCUUGCUCUCUGAGCCUACACAAUAAUGAUAAAGCAUUUUUAAAAGCUAAAAAUAGUUAAAAUAUUCUUACUUUAGUUAAAAACAUUCUUAAAAAGUUAAACGUGGUCUCAGCCAGUGAUUUGAGGAUUGCCAGGAACAGCAUCUUUCACUGAUCAAAUGCCUGGGUAAACAGGAAUACUUUUAAAUUUGUCCUGAAAGUCAGUAAUGAAGGAGUCACACACCUCACUAAGGAAAGCAUGCCACAAAAUGGUAAUCACCACUGAAAAGGCCCUGUCAAAUCUAAUGUUCUGUUUCUCCAAACAAAUAGGUACUGUAUGUAAAAUAGAAAUCAAUGCGGAUAUGCAUGUGAUCAGAAAUAUAAUUUUCAAAAAGGUUCAAAACUAGUCAAAAACUGGCAGUGAUUCCUUGCAAUAUGAAGUACAUGUAAUUGAAACAAGGGAAAAUGUCAUUUUUCUAAAUAAAGCAAAUCAAUCCAGUACAAGAAAUGCAGCGUGUAGCAGAAGAAAUGAAAGUGAGACAUCAUUUGUUUUGAUUCUAUAUUUUCACAUUCCAAAUCCAUACCCUCCUCUUGUGUGAUGAUAAGGUUACUACUCAAACUGUUAUUUCAGCAUAGGCAUCAUGGUGGGUAUCUGUUUUUGAACAACUAAUGCUAGGAAGGAAAUAUAUAUACACAGAAAGUUAUAUUUUCUGAAUUAUUGGUAUCACUCAAAAUUGUAGAGUGUGAACACAAAGUGGGGAUCAUUGAAAUGUAAAAAGAAGUUAUAUUUCAGUAUCUUUGUCCUAAUCCUACUAGUGUCCUUGUCCUACUAAACUUUGUGAUCUCAACUAUGGUUUUCUGUGAUAGUAUGGCUCAUGGUCUGAUUAUUUUUUAACUCCUCAUAGUAAGGAUGCAGCAAAUUGUCUGGCUUUGUCCAGGCUUGUUUUCGACUAUGAGAAUUGUAAGCGAAAAAGAUUGAAACAAUUAUUUUUUAAUGGUUGCUCAGGUAGAAAACAUUGCCAUCUGUUCUGUCAAUGAACUGCUAGAUCAAUCUAUACAGUGGUACCUCGGGUUAAGUACUUAAUUCUUUCCAGAGGUCCGUUCUUAACCUGAAACAGUUCUUAACCUGAAGCACCACUUUAGCUGAUGGGGCCUCCCACUGCUGCCGUGCCGCCACUAUGCAAUUUCUGUUCUCAUCCUGAAGCAAAGUUCUUAACCUGAGGUACUAUUUCUGGGUUAGCGGAGUCUGUAACCUGAAGCGUAUGUAACCUGAGAUACCACUGUAUUACAGAUGAGGUCUCAUACCAAUGUUGAAGUGUGGAGUGCUCCUUCUUCAGGAUUCCAGCCACUUUAUUCCAUUCUUCCCAUUUUCCAUUCUGCCCCCUGACAACAGUCAGUCAGCAUUCCAUGGUCACCAAAUACAUUCAAUCUUCACCUCAAGGUUCCCCCCUCCCGAAGUUGUUUCUUCUUCUUCUUCUUCUUCUUCUUCUUCUUCUUCUUCUUCUAACCUUGAGGCUCCCUCAAGCUUGAUGCCUGUCUCUUAUUUCUGUGCAUUUUUGGCUCCAAAAGCAACAACACUCGCUGCCUGAACACUUGGAAUGGUUUCAUUUGCUAUAUCAGUGCUGCCCACUUAUACAAUUUAGUCUACCAAUGGCAUUUCUCUUCUGAUUAGUUUCAAUGAAAAAGACUCUGUUCAAAAACAUUUAAUGCUGCAGGGCUUUUUUUUAUUUAAGAUCUUAUUCAGUUCAGCAAUUAUGAUCUGCCCAAGCUUCUAUGGACUUUCCUGAAAAUGUUACAUCAAAACCCUAUUAAGUUUUAACGUGUGUUAUAGGUUACAUUGUGAAAGCAUUAAAUGGCUCUGGCAGUACUAGCUGAUCUUGUGUGAGCAGCAAUGAAGGGGAAAGAGAAAAGCUUUUCAGCCUUGCCAUGACUAUUAAAAGACCCUUUUAAUAGUGUGAUAUCAGAACGGUAAAAUACACAUUUCAAGCUACGCAGUCAUCUAAUUAGUUCACCAUGUACCCAUUUUGCGCUUCUCCUGACACACUUACCUUAUACGACACUUGUGAGGCCUUGCUGAAGUUCAUGCCUUUAGGGUAGUGACGGCAAUAGCCUUCCCCAUCUUUAGUGGUAGAAUAUAUACCGUUCUACAAGCUGCUAUGCAGUCCAUUACUUUGUAACACAGUGUGCAGCAAUCUGUUUAGAUUAAAUAAACUUUGCAACUAAAACCCUGCUUAAAAGGGAAUGCAUGAGGUUUAAAAAACACCCCAAAACAAAUAUGCACCCAGCUCUCACAUACCUCACUCAUUAAAGGAUUAAGGAGUUUGUUAGGGUAUAUGUGCAUGAAUUAAAUCCAGAAAAGGUUGCUGUGUUCCUCUGGACUGAUUUUUAAACCCUCUUGAUCCAGGGGGUAAUUCAUGCAAGAAACAGGUUCCCUGUGCAGACUGCCCAUUGUGGAUCAGAUGCCAGAGUUUUCAAAUAACAUAAACAUAGGGAAAAUAAUUCAGGAAUAGCAAUUAGUGGUAACUAGCAGUCUACUUAAGGAAAGCUACAUGGCAGCUAUCCAACCUGUUUCUUUCUUUCUUUUUCUUUAAAAAAGAAAGGGUGUGGUUUCUCCCUGCCACUUUUCAUUUUAUUUCAUUUUUUAAAAAAGUUACAUUCUUGACAUUGCCCAUGAAUGAAGAAUAUUCAUUUCCUCCUUUGCCAGCUUUUUGAAAUACGAUCAGUGUGUGAGGCAUGCAGUUGAUAAUUGAAGUAGACAAUGAUAAGAUUUUCCAUUUGCAGGCAUAAUCACCAUAUGUAUUCUAAACUGGGUGGCGCAAUUAAUGGAAGCACUGCUAAAAGAAGGUAGAAUUUCUUCUUUCAAAGAGAAAGAAGAGUGUCUGUGGGACCAUUACCAUGUCUCAUGUACCCAUCUGUAGAUCAGGAUUGCAAAUUUUGGAUACACCAGUAUGAGCGCAACAUCGUUCCCAGAUGCCACAUGUGGCUCAAGCUUUAUGUUGUAUAAGAACAGCUGCCUGUCACAGGGCUGAAUGCAUUUUAUAUUCAGACUGUAACUGUGCCGAAAUGACAGCAUCCUAAUCAUACAGCAGCACCCACAGCUUUCAUAAUGGGGACGGCCAAUCCAAAAGUGUCAGUUAAUUUGCAUACGUUGACAGUAUAGUGUCACAAUUAAUGACAGCAAAAGUAAAGUAAUCAGUAGUAUUCUCCAGGUUUGUUUUUUUAAAUGCACACAGAGUGAUCAAAUUAAUCUAACAAUGAAAAAAUUAAUUUAAAUCUUUGGCUCUGGGGUAGUCAAAAUUUGGCUGAAAUGGAAGCAAAUUGUGGGUCACUCACUCCUACACUGCCAAGUUUCAAAAUCAAUCUAUUGAAUCAUUUUCCAACUAGGAGCCAUAGAACCUGCUCCCCCUCUGAUUUGUUAAUAUAACCCAACUCACUCUUAACAUGACUCUGACCCUAUAAUAGUAUAAAAUAGUACCAAUACUACAGUGCUUCAUAUGCCCCCACUGUCAGCAGUGCAACAGUGGUGAAACAAGACAGGGUCUUCUCUAUGGUGGUACCAAAGUUGUGGAAGCUCAACCUAAGGAAGUUCAUUUCAUUUACAGUAUUAUGUAUUUUAUGUAUUAUGUAUUAUUAAAGUAAUCUCCAAAGCAU